rnacentral:rRNA from 1 species
CCUACGGGAGGCAGCAGUAGGGAAUCUUUCACAAUGGGGGAAACCCUGAUGGAGCGACGCCGCGUGCAGGAAGAAGGCCUUCGGGUUGUAAACUUCUGUUAUAAGCGAGGAAUAUGAUGGUAACUUAUGAAUAAGGAUCGGCUAACUACGUGCCAGCAGCCGCGGUCAUACGUAGGAGCCGAGCAUUAUCCGGAGUGACUGGGUGUAAAGAGUUGCGUAGGUGGAAUAAGAAGUAGCUAGUGAAAUCGGGUGGCUCAACCAUUCAGACUAUUCGCUAAACUGUUAAGCUCGAGACCGUGAGGGGUAACUGGAAUUGCUAGUGUAGGAGUGAAAUCCGUAGAUAUUAGAAGGAACACCAAUAGCGUAGGCAGGUUACUGGGAUGGUUCUGACACUAAGGCACGAAAGCGUAGGGAGCAAACGGGAUUAGAUACCCGAGUAGUC